CCUACGGUGUGCAGCAGUGGGGAAUAUUGGACAAUGGGCGAAAGCCUGAUCCAGCCAUGCCGCGUGUGUGAAGAAGGCCUUCGGGUUGUAAAGCACUUUCAGUGGGGAAGAAAGCCUUGGGGCUAAUACCCUCGAGGAAGGACAUCACCCACAGAAGAAGCACCGGCUAACUCCGUGCCAGCAGCCGCGGUAAUACGGAGGGUGCGAGCGUUAAUCGGAAUUACUGGGCGUAAAGCGCGCGUAGGCGGUCUGAUAAGCCGGUUGUGAAAGCCCCGGGCUCAACCUGGGAACGGCAUCCGGAACUGUCAGGCUAGAGUGCAGGAGAGGAAGGUAGAAUUCCCGGUGUAGCAGUGAAAUGCGUAGAGAUCGGGAGGAAUACCAGUGGCGAAGGCGGCCUUCUGGACUGACACUGACGCUGAGGUGCGAAAGCGUGGGUAGCAAACAGGAUUAGAUACCCUAGUAGUC
rnacentral:rRNA from 1 species